GGUCGUGCUGAAGGCCUGUUUCCUAGGCUACAUACGGGGGACUCGUUCCUUGUUCAUCCGCCUAGGGGAAAGUCCCCGGACCUCGGGCAGAGAGUGCCGCGUGCACGCGCACGUAGACAUCCCUCCGCUUCCCACUGUAAAGCCCGCCAAGAAGCGAAUAUUCGCCGAGCGGCGUGGUGGUGGGGGGCGUCGUCCGUCAGCUCCACUAGUUACGCAGGCAGUGCGUCUCCGCGCACCAACCACACGGGGCUCAUUCUCAGCGCGGC
rnacentral:RNase_MRP_RNA from 1 species